rnacentral:ncRNA from 1 species
GCUCUCUGGAGAAUCCCGCACAAGGGUGCCGAAGGUGAAAGCAGAUCAGCGACUGCGAAUCUCUCAGGCAAAAGGACAGUGAA